rfam:Loxodonta africana unplaced genomic scaffold scaffold_81, whole genome shotgun sequence.
CCCUGGGUGGUGCAAAUAGUUAACACACUCAGCUGCUAACUGAAAGGUUGGAGGUUCAAAUCCACCCACAGGUA